GUGAUAGCUGUGGGGGUGGGGAGUGUAUUGGAUGCUGGAUACUGCAUCUGAGGAUGGAGCUGACAGUCUGGAAUGCCAGGGAGAAGGAAGCAUCAACUCAUAAUCAGCAUCAUCCCUUCUAGGGGUACCUGACUCUAACUUUCCAAGAGUUCUCACAUGCAGGUUCGUCUCUCAUCCCCUGGCAGCCUUGAGGCUGUUCUUGGGAAGAACAGAUGUUGUGGACCCUGCUGACCAAUGAGGAAGCUGAAACUCAGGCUGUAAGAGAUGUGAGAAGGGAAGAUGAAGAGAUGCCUUCUGACGACCAGCAUAACCUCAGGCACUCCCAAAGACCUAUGAGGCAUUGGUAUUACAGGUUUGACAAUGAUGUGAAAAACCACACCCUGUAGGCCGAAUCCAGCCUCGAGGCCUGGUGAUACCCGGCAGGAAAGAAGCGAAGUGGAAGAUGGCUCAGGAAGUCUGACUCCAGGCUAAUUCCUUGAGGAAAGCUGGCUUGCCAGGAGCAGUGGAGGCAAGCUAUUGGCUCAGAGUGAAGGAAGAUUUCUGAAAAUACAAAACAUGAUGUCAGGGGGGAGCAAUCUCUGAGGGUCUUUUCCCCAGACUAUGGGUAAGUCACUUAACCUUUCUGAGUCUCAGUUUUCUUGCUUAUAAGUUUUUCUUGACCCCAAAGUGUCCCAGAGUAGAAGUAUCUGGACACCCUAUAUGAACUGGCAGCACCCCAUCCUGG
rnacentral:lncRNA from 1 species